AGUGAACGCUGGCGGUAGGCCUAACACAUGCAAGUCGAACGGCAGCACAGUAAGAGCUUGCUCUUACGGGUGGCGAGUGGCGGACGGGUGAGGAAUACAUCGGAAUCUACUUUUUCGUGGGGGAUAACGUAGGGAAACUUACGCUAAUACCGCAUACGACCUACGGGUGAAAGCAGGGGAUCUUCGGACCUUGCGCGAUUGAAUGAGCCGAUGUCGGAUUAGCUAGUUGGCGGGGUAAAGGCCCACCAAGGCGACGAUCCGUAGCUGGUCUGAGAGGAUGAUCAGCCACACUGGAACUGAGACACGGUCCAGACUCCUACGGGAGGCAGCAGUGGGGAAUAUUGGACAAUGGGCGCAAGCCUGAUCCAGCCAUACCGCGGGGGUGAAGAAGGCCUUCGGGUUGUAAAGCCCUUUUGUUGGGAAAGAAAAGCAGCAGGUUAAUACCCCGCCGUUCUGACGGUACCCAAAGAAUAAGCACCGGCUAACUUCGU
rnacentral:rRNA from 1 species